UGGUACACGUGCCAGAGUAAUUUUAAAUCUCGUUUCAGGAUGACAUCGUUGAAUCAUCGCUCACACGGAAGGAAGCUCCGAAUCAUGCUAAAAACAAGCUGGCAACUGGUACGUGGGAUGAUGUAUGUUUUAGGUGAGUAGUAACGAUAUUAGUGCAUGCUCAACUAUGAUAGUACUUGGGUAGCUGCAGAAUAAUUUAUGUUUGUAUUCCAUUGCUAUUGUUACUGUUGUUUAGUAGGUGUUUGACAUCAGUAGAAUGAAAUUCUAUUUAUCUGAGUCAGUUCAGGGUCGAAUGCUUCUAGAAAUACUACUAGAAAUAAAGGUUUUUAAAUACGGUGGAAUAUUUAUUGUCAAAAUGGCGAUUAAGGGAAGAUUUUGGGAUGGUCUCUUGUGAAAAUCAUUGGAAAACAAUAAUAAGAAUUUCAUUUUUAUUUAAAAUAAUAAUUAAUAAAAAUAGCUGAAAAACUCUUUUCCUAUAUGAAAAUAAAGUUAUUGUAUUGUAACUUUUCAAACUUCUACUUUAAUAAUCAGACUUUUUGUGAUUCUCAAACAUAGUUAGAAUUUUUCAUUUCAAAAAUAGGCAUUCACAUUUAAAUAACACGUAAACAAAGCUCAGAUAAAUGGAAUCCUAUUAUAAUGAGUAAGGAUUUUUCACAUGAUGCAGACUUUUCGCUUUAAUUUCUAAUUACACUCUAAAAUAAAAAUGACUUCCUUCCUGAUGAAUUUUUUAUAGAUCAAUUCAGUUCUUUUUCGUAACACGCUAAGAUCGCCCUUCUGGCGAUAAAAUUAAAGAUUCGAAAAAUCGCGAUGCCAUAAAAAUUGUUCAACCUUAAAAUAUUCCUUUUAAUCUUUUCACGUUACAAAUAUAUUAUUAUAUUGAAAUUAAACAAUUCGUGGUUUCAAAAGUAAAUUGGAAAGACAUAUACAAUGUGCGUUAAGAAAUUAAAAAUUCAUCUUCUUAAAUCUAUCCAUAAGUAUGUGUUUCGAUAUCCGUGCACAAGAAUGUAAUUUCAAAUAGUAAAAAUAAAAUAAUAAUUAUAUAUAUAUUAUACGUAUAUCUAAACGCGACAUGUGUCACACGUGGAAUAAAGUUCUCUAAUUCGUACUGACAAGUGUUAAAAUAUCUUCGAUACUCUACGAAGUUCAAAGACGUCCAAGAUCAAAUGAAACACAAUGCGUAAGUUAAAACAGUCCAAAGUAAUUUAUCCUCGGUAUCUGAUCUCUCGUUGUGUCUCGAUAUUAGGAACAUUUGUGCCGUCAUUUGCGGUGUGUCAGGGCAGUAACAUGCCAAAACAACACAAUCCUAACCGAAGAUAUUUUUAAUAAUUACUCGUGACUAUAGCAAAUGAUGAACAGAGAGAGAGAGAGAGAGAAAGAGAGAGAGAGAGAGAGAUUUUGUAUUGUGUUUGAUCGUGGGAAAUCAAGAAACGAACAAUGUUUCAGCAGUAAACAAACAUAAAUAUUUCGUUACAUGGCAAUUAUAUAAACAAUACGUGACGACAUUUGAGUUGCUUACAAAACACGAUAAAUGGCCUGUCUAAUUAAUCAUACCGUGAAACGUUCACGACAAUAUCCGGUGUUUUUAUAGAUAUUCAUCCGAGGAUUCGAACGCGUGUAAAUGCACUUGAAAAUUUAUGUUUCGCAAUUUUGGAUGGACGACCGGUGGAGUUGGGCCAAGUCGACCUCGCAAAAGAGAAAUCAAGGCAGAUCGCCAGUGGAUCGUCCUUCGGAAACCAAAGUUAUUCGGAUUGUUAAUAUUCGGACGUGAAAUAAUAAUCGCGAUGAAGCAGGAUUUAUUUUAAAAAUAAAUCACAGCCGAUUCCUCGAUCUUCCAUUUCGAAUGUGUAAACACAAGGUUUCUUUACGUAACGCGAGAAACAAUUUACGACAUCGUAGUUUCUUUAACAUCAUAGUUCAAUAAAUUUUAUUAAAAAAUUGCCGAGAUUGUUUUCUUACGAAAAUCGUCUUUUUUUUUUGUUUUCCUCUUCCCUCAAUUUUUUUUUUUUUUUUUAAGUACAAAAUUAAGAUGUUAAAUUAUGCGGUCGUUAUUUCUCGGAGAAAAGGAUUAAAUGAUUUCUCGAGUGUUAAAACGCCUUCUGCAGACGUUGCUUACUUUUGAUUUCUUUUUCAUUCUCAGCGGGGGAUUUUAGCGUAAUAUCAACGAAAGCGUGCAACACGCUCGUCUUUAAACUUCGCGUGAGUUUAUUUUUAAACACGACAUGAAACAGAUGAUUCGUCAUCGACUAUCCAGAUUCCAAAUGAAACUUUUUCGCCGUUUCACUGUUUUUUUCAGAUAUAUUUUUAAGUCGAUUCUGUUAAUCGUGGACUCACCCGUGAAGUGAAUAAUUGGAAUAAGACAGAAACGGAGAUAGGUUCUUUUGUCGAAGAAAUUAAUCAUAAUAAACGUGACAGAUGUGACUGCAGUUUAACCGAUCGUUUAGAAUAAACGAUAUCGAAUAAAAUAAUAUUUGGGAAAGUGAUCGUACAAAUAGUUAUAAAUUUACAAAGGUAAAAGCUAUAGUAUGAAUGCGUAUUAUUAAUUAAUUUAUGUUUUUUUUAUUACAGCGUUAUUCGUAUUUGUAUAUUAUUAUUUGUUUAAUAUGUUCUAUUAAUAAAUUUUUCUGUUCCAUCAAAUUUGUAAUUGCAAUGAUAAAUGACACGUCUCAAGUCUUAGUAACAAAUUAAAAAUUCGUUAACAAAUUAAAAAUUCCCCUUCUUAUAGCGGCUUUCAUUUUAAACUCGUUUGUAUCAUUUAUUGCAAUCGUUUUAUUUUAAAUAAAUAUAAAUUUGAUUUGAAGAGAUUCCUUAUAAGCACUUCGCAGAAUAAAAUGGAAAAAGAAGAUUCAAAUAAACUUUGUAUGAGAUGCAGACAAUGUAAGUCUAAAGUUCAAUAAGUCAAAAGCAUGAAGCAAAUCUAUAGCGAAUUAUUAUAUGUCAAAUGUUUAUGACACAGGUACAAGAUUGAGCAGCCUAACGUCGGUCAGAAUUAUUCAAAAAUUCCUGAUUACUAUCGAUAGUUUUAAUAUUUGCAAUUCUCUGACGACUUCCUUCAGACUAUUAAAAAAUCUUCUCAUUACGUCAACGAAUAUCUUAUCUCAAAUUCGUAGUCUAUCGAUUUAAAAUUGAUAGGAUCAAGUAUUUCAAUUUCUUGAGAAAUUUUUUUCAAAAGUAACAAAACGUCGUCUUUACCUACGAAUUUUCUAUCUCGAAUCUGUUGAUUAUCAUUUCAAAGUUUCUCCGACUAAUAAUCUCGACAUCGACGAUUCUCUAAAAAAUUCUUCAGAAAGAAUUUUCUAAUCCUUUCUCUUAAUAGUUUCUAACAAAUCUCAUCGGUUCAAAAUUCCUCUUUAAUUACCGAGAAUUCUAUCAUUUUGAAAAUCCUCCGACCAACAGUCCCAACAUUUGCAAUCCCGCAACGAUUUCCUCUGAAAUAUCAAAAAAUCCUUCCUCGCCGAUAAAUUUUGCAUCUCAAAUUCACCGACCAUCGUUUCAAAAUUCCCCCGAUCGACAAUUCAAUCGCAAUGUCGAUCUCCUCGUCGUUUCAAAAUUCUCAAUUAUCGUCGACGGUUCGAUCAUCUCUUCAUAAUUUCCUCGAAGCUAUUAAUAUUCAAAAUUCCACUCUCCUUUGACAAAUUUUUCAUCUCAAAUUCCCAAGCAUCGCCUCGAAAUUCGCCGAUCCAUCAUCGUCUCAAUCCCAACCCCAAUUUCCUCGUCAUUUCAAAAUCCUCAAUCGUCAAUCGCCGCGACACUCCACGACUCUCUAAAAUUUCUGCUUAAAGAUUCCUAUCUCGAAGAGAAGACUCGAUAAAUUUUCUUCAACGUCUUAACCAAAUAUCGUGUUCAUCGCUUCGACGACUUCCUGCGGUAGACGUGGACGUCGCGCGGAGGAGUUGCAACGCGGAAGCCCCGUCUAGCGUUCUAAGCUCGCUAAUAACCUGGCGGCGGGUCAUUAUUCUAGAGAAGGAGGUAACGGAGGCGGCGGUCGCACGCACAGUUUCCCACUCAAAAUGAAAAACCCGAACGCGACCCGUCGUAGAGGGGGCAACGGUGAUGCAUGCACCGAAUACUUUCAGUGUCGGACGCCGACGAAUCGUGGUGGGGAAACUCGUGUCUGACGCCACUACGCACAUCUCUACCCCAAGCUUAGUCUAGCCUUAAUAGUCAUCCACUGGAAGCCGGAGACGAUGAAGCUGGCCAGAACGAAACGUCUUUCUCUGGAUCUUAUUCUGCUACGGCAAUCUCCGUUUCCACGCUUCGUCAAUUUCUCUUGGCAGGGACAUCAAGUGACAUUUAAGUGAUAUUCAAGUGAUAUUUAAGCGGUGCUUCGAACGGUACGCAUAACGGUGAUAUUUUCUGACCAGUUUCGUGAUUAAUCGCUGACCAACGUGGUGUUUGACAGUUGGCUGCCUUCGAUCGGACUGCAUCGCUUUGUUUGCGACAAUGUCGAAUGCUAGUUCGAUAGAAGUGCAGCCGCGAUUGAACUGGACACGUGUGAUCUUUUAUCGAAGUUGAACGUCGCGAAGCGGUGAUGAUUCACCUGUGGUGAACAAGACAAAGCGUUGUUUAUCGUGGCGAGUCUCGUUUCUCGGAUACAUGUGAGAACGGAUACAGUGAUACACACUAGGAUCUAAUGGAUGACACACAAAAUUUAUUCGAUGAAUCACGGACGAUUGGAGUGGUCAUGUACAAAAAUAAAAAUAAAAUCAACGUUUAGCGAGA